rfam:Ornithorhynchus anatinus chromosome 2, whole genome shotgun sequence.
CCCCUCUCAGGGUCGCACUUGGAGGGUUUCCGGUACUCUACCAGUCUCGACUACAGGAGGGACAGUUAAGUAGAAGCAUAUCCGUUCCAUUCCUAGCUUGGGCAGUGGCUAGUGAAUGGAAGGCAAUAUGCUACGAGU